UAGAAUGAGGUGUACGCUGGUAGCACGAUGGAUUUUGGAUCCUUAGGAGUAGGUUCAAGGCCUGCAGUUCUAG
rnacentral:tRNA from 1 species